rnacentral:rRNA from 1 species
CUUGCUGGGUGGAUUAGUGGCGAACGGGUGAGUAACACGUGAGUAACCUGCCCCUGACUCUGGGAUAAGCGUUGGAAACGACGUCUAAUACUGGAUAUGACUGCCGGCCGCAUGGUCUGGUGGUGGAAAGAUUUUUUGGUUGGGGAUGGACUCGCGGCCUAUCAGCUUGUUGGUGAGGUAAUGGCUCACCAAGGCGACGACGGGUAGCCGGCCUGAGAGGGUGACCGGCCACACUGGGACUGAGACACGGCCCAGACUCCUACGGGAGGCAGCAGUGGGGAAUAUUGCACAAUGGGCGAAAGCCUGAUGCAGCAACGCCGCGUGAGGGAUGACGGCCUUCGGGUUGUAAACCUCUUUUAGUAGGGAAGAAGGGAGCUUGCUCUUGACGGUACCUGCAGAAAAAGCACCGGCUAACUACGUGCCAGCAGCCGCGGUAAUACGUAGGGUGCAAGCGUUGUCCGGAAUUAUUGGGCGUAAAGAGCUCGUAGGCGGUUUGUCGCGUCUGCUGUGAAAUCCCGAGGCUCAACCUCGGGCUUGCAGUGGGUACGGGCAGACUAGAGUGCGGUAGGGGAGAUUGGAAUUCCUGGUGUAGCGGUGGAAUGCGCAGAUAUCAGGAGGAACACCGAUGGCGAAGGCAGAUCUCUGGGCCGUAACUGACGCUGAGGAGCGAAAGCAUGGGGAGCGAACAGGAUUAGAUACCCUGGUAGUCCAUGCCGUAAACGUUGGGCGCUAGAUGUAGGGACCUUUCCACGGUUUCUGUGUCGUAGCUAACGCAUUAAGCGGCCCGCCUGGGGAGUACGGCCGCAAGGCUAAAACUCAAAGGAAUUGACGGGGGCCCGCACAAGCGGCGGAGCAUGCGGAUUAAUUCGAUGCAACGCGAAGAACCUUACCAAGGCUUGACAUACACCGGAAACGGCCAGAGAUGGUCGCCCCCUUGUGGUCGGUGUACAGGUGGUGCAUGGUUGUCGUCAGCUCGUGUCGUGAGAUGUUGGGUUAAGUCCCGCAACGAGCGCAACCCUCGUUCUAUGUUGCCAGCGCGUUAUGGCGGGGACUCAUAGGAGACUGCCGGGGUCAACUCGGAGGAAGGUGGGGAUGACGUCAAAUCAUCAUGCCCCUUAUGUCUUGGGCUUCACGCAUGCUACAAUGGCCGGUACAAAGGGCUGCGAUACCGUAAGGUGGAGCGAAUCCCAAAAAGCCGGUCUCAGUUCGGAUUGAGGUCUGCAACUCGACCUCAUGAAGUCGGAGUCGCUAGUAAUCGCAGAUCAGCAACGCUGCGGUGAAUACGUUCCCGGGCCUUGUACACACCGCCCGUCAAGUCAUGAAAGUCGGUAACACC